GUCGACCCUAUGCAACCAACUGAGCUUGGCACCGCCCUUUCGGCUUUAACCAUCAAUCAACCCAUGGCACAGUGGAACAUGGAUACCGGGGCAUCUUCGCACAUCACUUCGGAUCAAGGGUCUCAAGACUGGACAACCUCUUUCGCGCCAUGAUAGCACCAGUGAUCUUUACCCAUUUACCCCACCCCGUCAAGUCCUUUUUGCAGCUGAAACCAAUAAGUGGCACGAUCGUCUUGGACAUCCUGGCACACAAGUUUUAAAAUUUCUUUCUAGUCGUUUUAAUAUUCCUUGUAAUGAACAAUCUUUUGCAUUUUGUGACUCUUGCCAUUUAUCUAACAGUAAACGGCUUUCUUUUACUA